UACGGGGGGAGCAAGCGUUGUUCGGAUUUACUGGGCGUAAAGGGCGCGUAGGCGGCCACCGCAAGUCGGUUGUGAAAUCUCUGGGCUUAACCCAGAAAGGUCAACCGAUACUGCGGGGCUAGAGUGCAGAAGGGGCAACUGGAAUUCUCGGUGUAGCGGUGAAAUGCGCAGAUAUCAGGAGGAACACCGGUGGCGAAGGCGGGUCUCUGGGCCGAAAUUGACGCUGAGGAGCGAAAGCGUGGGGAGCAAACAGG
rnacentral:rRNA from 1 species